UACAGAGGUCUCGAGCGUUAGGCGGAAUCACUGGGCUUAAAGCGUGUGUAGGCGGAUCGGUAAGUACCUUGUGAAAUCCCACAGCUUAACUGUGGAACUGCUUGGUAUACUGCCAGUCUUGAGCCACUUAGGGGCUACCGGAACAAAUGGUGGAGCGGUGAGAUGCGUAGAUAUCAUUUGGAACGCCAAUGGUGAAAACAGGUAGCUGGGAGUGUGCUGACGCUGAGACACGAAAGCCAGGGGAGCAAACGGG
rnacentral:rRNA from 1 species